rnacentral:rRNA from 1 species
CCUACGGGGGGCAGUAGUGAGGAAUAUUGGUCAAUGGCCGGGAGGCUGAACCAGCCAAGUCGCGUGAGGGAAGACGGCCCUACGGGUUGUAAACCUCUUUUGUCAGGGAGCAAGGUGCAGGUCGGGACCUGCUGUGAGAGUACCUGAAGAAAAAGCAUCGGCUAACUCCGUGCCAGCAGCCGCGGUAAUACGGAGGAUGCGAGCGUUAUCCGGAUUUAUUGGGUUUAAAGGGUGCGCAGGCGGAGGCACAAGUCAGCGGUAAAAUCGCGGGGCUCAACCCCGCCCCGCCGUUGAAACUGUGUGCCUUGAGUGCGCGAAGGGUAGGCGGAAUGCGUGGUGUAGCGGUGAAAUGCAUAGAUAUCACGCAGAACUCCGAUCGCGAAGGCAGCCUACCGGCGCGCAACUGACGCUCAUGCACGAAAGCGUGGGUAUCGAACAGGAUUAGAUACCCCUGUAGUC